rnacentral:rRNA from 1 species
AAUGAACGCUGGCGGCGUGCAUAACACAUGCAAGUCGAACGAGAAAGGGGCUUCGGCCCCGAGUAAAGUGGCGCACGGGUGAGUAACGCGUGGGUAACCUACCCUGGAAUCUGGGAUAACACUGCGAAAGCGGUGCUAAUACCGGGUACGAUCCUCGAGCGGGAGUUCGGGGAUGAGAGCCGGCCUCUUGAAAAAGCUGGUGUUCCGGGAUGGGCUCGCGUCCUAUCAGCUAGUUGGUGGGGUAAUGGCCUACCAAGGCGUCGACGGGUAGCUGGUCUGAGAGGAUGAUCAGCCACACUGGCACUGGAACACGGGCCAGACUCCUACGGGAGGCAGCAGUGAGGAAUUUUGCGCAAUGGGGGAAACCCUGACGCAGCAACGCCGCGUGGGUGAAGAAGGCCUUCGGGUCGUAAAGCCCUGUCAGGUGGGAAGAACGGUCUUUGAGCGAACAGUUCGGGGAUUUGACGGUACCACCAGAGGAAGCACCGGCUAACUCCGUGCCAGCAGCCGCGGUAAUACGGAGGGUGCGAGCGUUGUUCGGAAUCAUUGGGCGUAAAGGGCGUGUAGGCGGCUGGGUAAGUCUGAUGUGAAAGCCCGGGGCUCAACCCUGGAAGUGCAUUGGAGACUGCUCGGCUUGAGUACUGGAGAGGAUGGGGGAAUUCCCGGUGUAGAGGUGAAAUUCGUAGAGAUCGGGAGGAAUACCAGUGGCGAAGGCGCCCAUCUGGACGGAUACUGACGCUGAGACGCGAAAGCGUGGGGAGCAAACAGGAUUAGAUACCCUGGUAGUCCACGCUGUAAACGAUGAGCGCUAGGUGUAGCGGGUAUUGACCCCUGCUGUGCCGCAGCUAACGCAUUAAGUGCUCCGCCUGGGGAUUACGGUCGCAAGACUAAAACUCAAAGGAAUUGACGGGGGCCCGCACAAGCGGUGGAGCAUGUGGUUUAAUUCGACGCAACGCGAAGAACCUUACCUGGGCUUGACAUCCCCGGCCCGCCCUGGAAACAGGGUUUUCCCCUUCGGGGGACCGGGUGACAGGUGCUGCAUGGCUGUCGUCAGCUCGUGUCGUGAG